rnacentral:rRNA from 1 species
UACGGAGGGUGCAAGCGUUAUCCGGAUUCACUGGGUUUAAAAGGGUGCGUAGGAGGGCAGGUAAGUCAGUGGUGAAAUCUCCGAGCUUAACUUGGAACUGCCGUUGAUACUAUCUGCCUUGAAUAUUGUGGAGGUGAGCGGAAUAUGUCAUGUAGCGGUGAAAUGCUUAGAUAUGACAUAGAACACCAAUUGCGAAGGCAGCUUACUACACAGUUAUUGACACUGAGGCACGAAAGCGUGGGGAGCAAACAGG